rnacentral:rRNA from 1 species
AUUGAACGCUGGCGGCAGGCCUAACACAUGCAAGUCGAACGAGUGGCGGACGGGUGAGUAAUGUCUGGGACACUGCCCGAUGGAGGGGGAUAACUACUGGAAACGGUAGCUAAUACCGCAUACCAUCGGAUGUGCCCAGAUGGGAUUAGAUAGUAGGUGGGGUAACGGCUCACCUAGGCGACGAUCCCUCGCUGGUCUGAGAGGAUGACCGGCCACACUGGAACGGAGACACGGUCCAGACUCCUACGGGAGGCAUCAGUGGGGAAUAUUGCACAAGGGGCGCAAGCCUGAUACAGACAUGCCGCGUGUAUGAAGAAGGCCUUCGGGUUGCAAAGUACUUUCAGCGAGGAGGCGUUACUCGCAGAAGAAGCACCGGCUAACUCCGUGCCAGCGGCCGCGGUAAUUC